GCCACUCUCUAUCAUAUUUGAAAAGUCCUAGCAGUCAGCUGAAGUCCAUGUUGACUGGAAAAAAGGAAACAUCAUUCCCAUUUUUAAAAAGGGUAGAAAGGAGGACCUGGGGUCUACAGACCGGUGAGCCUCACCUGUGUGCCUGGGAAUAUCCUAGAACAGAUCCUCCUGGAAGCAAUGCAAGGCACAUACAGGACAAGGAGGUGAUCUGAGACAGCCAGCAUGGUUUCACCAAGGGCAAAUCCUGCCUGACCAAUCUGGUGGUCUUCUGUGAUGGAGUGACUGCAUCAGUUGACAAGGGAAGACCAUCUACCUGGACUUCUCCACAGCCUUUGACGCAGUCCCACAUGACACCCUGAUCUCCAAAAUGGAGAGGGAUGGAUUUGAUGGGUGGGCUGUUUAGUGGGACAGCUUGCUAAAUACUAACAUGGUGUGACUGAUCAUAGGAAAUAUGUAAAUUAAAUACCUUCUGAUGUUGUAACUAAGUUCAUUAACACCACAGCAAACCAAAUGUUUAAAGUGUUGUUUUUUUCUUGUUAGACUCUACUUCUUGCAAGAGUUUAAGAAAAAAAAGUCAAAACCAGAACAAAUAGGAUGUUUGGUUGUUCUACCCUAGCAUCAAAACCUGAUGGAAAAAAUGCAAAAAGCGCUUGUUUGUGGUGGUAGUUUAUUCAGAGUGUUUUUAAGACGGCGCUAUGCAAGGGCAAUGGAACUGAAUGUGUGCCAGCUUCUUCCUAAUUGGAGUUCACACCCCUGAGGUAUUAACUUGAAUUGAAACUGCACAUGGUUUAAAUUAGUAUCUUAAACUCUGAACUGUGGUGCAUCAGGAGCUGGCAUGUCUGAUUUAGCAAUGAUCGCUGUGGAGCGGGAAGAUGAGUUGAUAACUCAUUCUGAGAGGCUGCUUCUUAAAGCUCCUACUCAGAUUUUGUUCCACAGCAAUGUUUGUGUCACUGCCAUGAAUGUUAUAUCAGUAAUAAAGCAGUUGUUUGAAAA